GGAUCCAGACUUUGAUUAUGGCUCAGGAUGAACGCUAGCUACAGGCUUAACACAUGCAAGUCGAGGGGCAGCGGGAUUGAAGCUUGCUUCAAUUGCCGGCGACCGGCGCACGGGUGAGUAACGCGUAUCCAACCUUCCGUACACUCAGGGAUAGCCUUUCGAAAGAAAGAUUAAUACCUGAUGGUAUGAUGAGAUUGCAUGAUAGCAUCAUUAAAGAUUUAUCGGUGUACGAUGGGGAUGCGUUCCAUUAGGUAGUAGGCGGGGUAACGGCCCACCUAGCCGACGAUGGAUAGGGGUUCUGAGAGGAAGGUCCCCCACAUUGGAACUGAGACACGGUCCAAACUCCUACGGGAGGCAGCAGUGAGGAAUAUUGGUCAAUGGACGAGAGUCUGAACCAGCCAAGUAGCGUGAAGGAUGAAGGUCCUACGGAUUGUAAACUUCUUUUAUAAGGGAAUAAACCCUUCCACGUGUGGGAGCUUGUAUGUACCUUAUGAAUAAGCAUCGGCUAACUCCGUGCCAGCAGCCGCGGUAAUACGGAGGAUGCGAGCGUUAUCCGGAUUUAUUGGGUUUAAAGGGAGCGCAGACGGGUCGUUAAGUCAGCUGUGAAAGUUUGGGGCUCAACCUUAAAAUUGCAGUUGAUACUGGCGUCCUUGAGUGCGGUUGAGGUGUGCGGAAUUCGUGGUGUAGCGGUGAAAUGCUUAGAUAUCACGAAGAACUCCGAUUGCGAAGGCAGCACACUAAGCCGUAACUGACGUUCAUGCUCGAAAGUGUGGGUAUCAAACAGGAUUAGAUACCCUGGUAGUCCACACGGUAAACGAUGGAUACUCGCUGUUGGCGAUAUACUGUCAGCGGCUAAGCGAAAGCGUUAAGUAUCCCACCUGGGGAGUACGCCGGCAACGGUGCAACUCAAAGGAAUUGACGG
rnacentral:rRNA from 2 species